CAGGAAAGGUUAAAGGAUCUUAACAUGUAUAGCUUGGAGGAAAGACGAGACAGGGGGGAUAUGAUAGAAACAUUUAAAUAUAUAAAGGGAGUCAACACAGUAAAGGAGGAGACUAUAUUUAAAAGAAGAAAAACUACCACAACAAGAGGACAUAGUCUUAAAUUAGAGGGACAAAGGUUUAAAAAUAAUAUCAGGAAGUAUUACUUUACUGAGAGGGUAGUGGAUGCAUGGAAUAG